rnacentral:rRNA from 1 species
AGCGCGGGUGCGAGUCGGAGGGUGCAAGCCCGUGGGCGAAGUGAAAGCGAGUUUUAAAAACUAGCAGUUUGGGGCGGCAUAAGAUCGUUGAUCUUAAGACCGACCCAGAGCAGUUGCGCUGGGACCCGAAAGAUGGUGAACUAUGCCGGAGUAGGGCAAAGCCAGAGGAAACUCUGGUGGAGGCUCGUAGCGGUGCUGACGUGCAAAUCGCUCGUCGAACUUGGGUAUAGGGGCGAAAGACUAAUCGAACCAUCUAGUAGCUGGUUCCCUCCGAAGUUUCUCUCAGGAUAGCGGGCCGACAAGUUGUUUUGUGCGGUAAAGCGAAUGAUUAGCGCAUUUCGGGGGCGUUUAGCCUUCGGGCGAUUCUCAAACUUUCAAUGCGCAAGGGUGCCGCUGCUUAAUUGAGCGGUACCGGUAAAAACGUCGGCCCUGUGGGCCACUUUUGGUAAGCAGAACUGGCGAUACGGGAUGAACCGUAAGCAAGGUUAAGGCGCCAAACUGCCCGCUUAUAGACCCCACAAAAGGUGUUGAUUCAUCGAGACAGCAGGACGGUGGCCAUGGAAGUCGGAAUCCGCCAAGGAGUGUGUAAAAACUCACCUGCCGAAUGAAUUAGCCCUGAAAAUGGAUGGCGCUGAAGCGGGCGGCCGACACCUUGCCGUCUGAAUAAGACUUUCAGAUGAGUAGGAGGGCGUGGCGGCCGUGUCGAAGCGCGCGUGCAGACGCGUGUGGAACAGCCGCUAGUGCAGAUCUUGGUGGUAGUAGCAAGUAUUCAAGCGAGAUCCUUGAAGGGCGAAGUGGGGAAGGGUUUCACGCGAACAUUGAUUGGGCGUGAGUGAGUCGUUCCUAAGCCGAGUGGCAAUUGCUAAUUAACGGCGAAAGGGAAGCGGGUUGACAUUCCCGCACACGGAUGUGGAGGCGGCGACGCAUUAUUGGGGCGAACACGCUGGCGGUGGCGCUGGGCAGAGUUGUCUUUUCUGUUUGACCGCUUGCGCACGCGGUGUGGAAUCCGCUUGUCGGGAGAAACACGCGUGUACGGGCAGAGCGCUGGGGCUUUUCCAGCGUCCAGCUCGCCACCGACGGCCCUUGAAACUUUGCCUGCUG